UUAAGCUUUUCAGAGGAAUUUGCUCUUUAAUGGAUAAAACACCUAAAUCUUACUUAAAUUUGUUAAUUCAAUUUGUAUACCACUAUAAAAACAAUUUAUAACUUUAAUUGUUGAUAUUUAUUAAAUUAAAAUAUAUUAAGUCAAGGGGCAGUAAAAAUUUAAGGAUGAAGUGAAUUACAUUACUUUUUAGAGAAAUAAAUUUAAAAUAAUAUUUAGGAUUUGAAAGUAAAAUUAAAAUAUAAUGUUAAUUUGAAUUAAGCUCUAAAAUAU
rnacentral:rRNA from 1 species